GACGAACGCUGGCGGCGUGCCUAAUACAUGCAAGUCGAACGCAUUUUCUUUCAACGUAUCUUGCUACACCGAACGAAAGUGAGUGGCGAACGGGUGAGUAACACGUGGUUAGCUGGCCAGCCACCGUGGAGAAACGCUUGAUAAUAGUGCAUAAACCCCAUAAAUCCAAUUUUCACAUUGGAAAGGUGCGAAAGGCGCAUUUGCGGCAGCUACCGCGUUGUAUUAGCUAGUUGGUGAGGUAAGGGCUCACCAAGGCGGCGAUGCAUAGCCGACCUGAGAGGGUGAUCGGCCACACUGGGACUGAGACACGGCCCAAACUCCUACGGGAGGCAGCAGUAGGGAAUCUUCGGCAAUGGACGAAAGUCUGACCGAGCAACGCCGCGUGAGUGAAGAAGGUUUUCGGAUUGUAAAACUCUGUUGUUAGAGAAGAACAAGGAUGAGAGUGGAAAGUUCAUCCCUUGACGGUAUCUAACCAGAAAGCCACGGCUAACUACGUG
rnacentral:rRNA from 1 species